CCAAUCGAACCCGGAGAUAGCUGGUUCUCCUCGAAAUAGCUUUAGGGCUAGCCUCAUGGAUCAUUGAUGGGGGUAGAGCACUGAAUGUGCGCGGGGGCCACAAAGCCUACCAAACGCUAUCAAACUUCGAAUACCAUACAAUGCAGACCAUGGGAGUCAGUCCGCGAGAGAUAAGUUCCGCGGGCAAAAGGGGAACACCCCAGAUCAACCGCUAAGGUCCCCAAGUUCACGUUAAGUGGAGAAGGAUGUGGAAUUGCACAGACAACCAGGAUGUUGGCUCAGAAGCAGCCACACAUUUAAAGAGUGCGUAAUAGCUCACUGGUCGAGUGAUUGUGCGCCGAAGAUGUCCGGGGCUAAACGUGACACCGAAGCGAUGGGUGCAUCUGAAAGGAUGCGCGGUAGAGGAGCAAUGUGCAGAGGCAGAAGCCGUAUCGAGAGGCACGGUGGACACUGCACAAGAGAGAAUGCCGGUAUGAGUAGCGAGAGGCAUGCGAGAAACAUGCCCGUCGAAAGCCCAAGGUUUCCUGGGGAAGGUUCAUCCGCCCAGGGUAAGUCGGGGCCUAAGCCGAGGACGGAAGUCGUAGGCGAUGGACAGCAGGUGUAGAUUCCUGCACUACCGAUGGAAUGAAGCAGUGACACAGAAGGAUAACUCGAGCAGGGUGAUGGUCAACCCUGUGCAAGCAUCAAGGUUGGGUUGUAGUGAAGUACGCAACCCUAUAAGCUGAGGUGUGAUGCGGACCGAAAUUUCAGUAGGGAAGCGAGUGAGUUCACGCUGGCGAGAAAAGCUGCUAGUACAUCCAAAGGUACCCGUACCGGAAACCGACGCAGGUGGGCGAGGAGAGAAUCCUGAGACGAACGGGAGAACCCUUGUUAAGGAACUCGGCAAAAUGACCCCGUAACUUCGGGAUAAGGGGUGCCUGCGAGAGCAGGCCGCAGAGAAUAGUCACAAGCGACUGUUUAGCAAAAACACAGGUAUCUGCGAAAGCGAGAGCUGACGUAUAGGUGCUGACACCUGCCCGGUGCUGGAAGGUUAAGGGAACAUGUUAGAGCAAUCGAAGCAUCGAACCGAAGCCCCAGUAAACGGCGGCCGUAACUAUAACGGUCCUAAGGUAGCGAAAUUCCUUGUCGGGUAAGUUCCGACCCGCACGAAUGGUGUAACGACUUGUGAGCUGUCUCAACAGGGGGCCCGGUGAAAUUGAAGUAUGGGUGAAGAUGCCCAUUACCCGCGACUGGACGGAAAGACCCCGUAGAGCUUUACUGCAGCCUGAUAUUGAGUUUCGGUAACUGAUGCACAGGAUAGGUGGGAGUCUGAGAGACACGGGUUUCGGCUCGUGUGGAGACGAUGUUGGGAUACCACUCUUCGGUUACUGAAAUUCUAACAUAGCUCUGUGAAACCAGAGGAUGGACAGUGUCAGGUGGACAGUUUGACUGGGGCGGUCGCCUCCGAAAGAGUAACGGAGGCGCCCAAAGGUACCCUCAGAAUGGAUGGAAACCAUUCGAAGAGCGCAAAGGCAGAAGGGUGCCUGACUGCGAGAUUGACAACUCGAGCAGAGACGAAAGUCGGGCUUAGUGAUCCGGCGGUAUUGAGUGGAAAAGCCGUCGCUUAACGGAUAAAAGCUACCUCGGGGAUAACAGGCUGAUCUCCCCCAAGAGUCCACAUCGACGGGGAGGUUUGGCAC
rnacentral:rRNA from 1 species